rnacentral:misc_RNA from 1 species
GAUGAAGAACGCAGCGAAAUGCGAUAAGUAAUGUGAAUUGCAGAAUUCAGUGAAUCAUCGAAUCUUUGAACGCACAUUGCGCCCCUUGGUAUCCCGAGGGGCAUGCCUGUUCGAGCGUCAUUUCACCACUCAAGCCUGGCUUGGUGUUGGGCGACGUCCUCUUUGGGGACGCGCCUCGAAACGCUCGGCGGCGUGGCACCGGCUUUAAGCGUAGCAGAAUCUUUCGCUUUGGAAGUCGGGGCCCCGUCUGCCGGAAGACCUGCUCGCAAGGUUGACCUCGGAUCAGGCAGGGAUACCCGCUGAACUUAAGCAUAUCAUAAGCGGAGGA